CGUUAUUUUGCAUCAAAUAAAAGCAGCACUGAUGAGCAUAGGAGACUUCUUUUAAAAACAUUUUAAAAACUCUUACCGAUCCCAAACUUUAUACUACUGUAUUUCAGGUGUAAUUCAAAAGGGUGCAUCCGAUGGAAACUUUACUAUUCCAUGAGGCCACAGAAAAGGAGCUGUGAAUGGCAAUUUUCACUGCUGUUAUUCUCAUGUUGAGCAGUAGGGGAGUGUUUUUCCUGGUGUCCAGCCACAUUUCUCCCACUAAUUUUCCCAGCAUAGUUGUAUUUCCCACCACAUGGCCUGCAUGGACAUCCAGCUCUGUCUAUAGAAUUGCCCAGAGGACCAGGACUAUAUUUAGACCAGUUGAGUUUCUCCAUUCAGAACCCUUUGUUUUGCACAAAUAUAGCUCUAAAUAAUUAAAUAAAUUACAAUACCAUUCAAAAGUUUGGGGUUAU
ensembl:lncRNA